rnacentral:rRNA from 1 species
UACAGAGGUGGCGAGCGUUGUCCGACGUUACUGGGCGUAAAGCGCGCGCAGGCGGUUCGGUAAGUCAGGUGUGAAAUCCCGGGGCUCAACCUCGGAAGGGCACAUGAUACUGCCAAACUUGAGUACUGGAGAGGAGAGUGGAAUUCCCGGUGUAGAGGUGAAAUUCGUAGAUAUCGGGAGGAACACCAGUGGCGAAGGCGACUCUCUGGACAGAUACUGACGCUGAGGCGCGAAAGCGUGGGAAGCAAACAGG